AGGAGACGAGAUGUUUGAGGCGACACUCACUGAAGCUGAGGUGGAAGCCGUUAUACAGCUGAUGCUCCUGUUCAUUGAUAAGAUCGAGGCUGAAUCGCUGGGAGAUGAAGGGAUGAAUGUUACAGACACUGAGCCUGAAGCCCUGACACUCAACAUGAUGUAUAUGGAGGAAGUGGAAACACCUAAUGACUGUCCUCUGGAAUAGGAGAUGCUGGAGGUGAUGGACACAGAAGAUCAAGCACAGGUCAUUAAAGAUCUAGUGCACCUUGAGCUUCAGGAAACAGAGACCAAAAAUCUGGGUAA
ensembl:lncRNA